AUGACUAGAAAGAAGGUCAAGCUUGCAUACAUUACUAAUGACUCUACAAGAAAAGCUACCUUCAAUGCUCUUUGGGGAGAUGAGAUGAUGUUGCCAUUCGGAGAUAACAGUCACAAUGCUCUUUGGUCUGAUGCGUUCUUCCCUUGAUUUUUUUUUUUUCUUUCUUAAAGAAUCAUAAUUAAGAAAUUUCCCUUGGUACUUGUUUGAUGUUUUCAUACACAAUGACACAGGCUUCUUUUGUACGUUAAUUAUAAGUUCAAUGUACUUACAUAAUGUUCAAUUGUUGUUUAUCAUAAUUAUGAUAUUCACAAUCUUAUGUUGGUUCUUAAAAUUUUCAAUAUAUUUUUAUUCAAUCAUAUAAUUUGAAUGACCAUCUAAGGUAUUUAGCGUUCUUUCUUAGUUGCUUAAAACUAAAUUAAACAAAAUAAAAACUAGACAAGAGAUGCACUUCGAAAUCUUCUUCCGAAUUUUUGCAUGUAAAUGUGCUUUUAGGUCGCGUUAUAUUUGGUUGCAACUACAAUAUUCUGAAAAUUUUCAUUCAAAGUUUAUUCAUUUGACAAAUAUAGAAAUAUACUUUCUCAAUUCCAAUAUGGUAUCAAACCAUUAAACACCCAGUUAACAAUCGUUAGGAGACCCAAUAAUCUUACAAUAACUAUAAUACCCAAUAAAUAUAUGGGUGUAUAAGUGUAUUAUGGUCCAUCACAAAUCAAUUCAUGAUUGUCGCGUUGUUCCAAGGUAAUUCCCUGAGUCAAGCCCAUUUUUUGGGCAAACAGGCUCACCCUUUUAUUUUCUAUGCACAAAUCAAAACAACGUUGCACUUCUCUUUGGAAAUCACAAAUCACCUUUUUAUUUAGUGAUGGACCAUAAGUUGAAAAAGAAAAAAGAAAAGAAAACCUCCAAUAAAUCGUUAGGAGACCCAAUAAUCUUACAAUAACUAUAAUACCCAAUAAAUAUAUGGGUGUAUAAGUGUAUUAUGGUCCAUCUAUCCAAUUUCAUGACUAUUCAGCCCCACACACAUAAAAAAGAAAAAAAAAACCAUAUUCCUAUCGUACGUUUAAAAAAAAUAAAAAGCGACUUAUCAUUUGCAUGGCAAAGUUGGCAUAUGAGAGAUAGAGAGGAAGAGAGGAUUGUUGCAUAGGAAAAUGUUAGUGUCAUAACUUUUGUCUUAAUUUUUGCCAUAUUUUACUUAUAUGGUAAGUUGUGGCUUGUGGGUAGUGAAGUAAAAGUGGAGACUUGAAUCUCGACCAUUUUCCUCCAACACUAUACAAAUACUUAUAUUUUUAGAGUGAUCAUCGCACUAAAAGUAUACAGUGAUAUACAUAUUUGCAUUGCAGGACAAAGUUGGCAUGCCCCUGGUGCGUGUUGGUGUUUGGGAAGCUGAUUAUAUUGUCUCUUAUACGAAAAACUAAUUCUUGUACCAGAAAAAACAAAAAAAAAAAUUACGUGUUGUAAAUGCUCUUAAUAAACUAUUUAAAAAAAUUAUAAAAAAAGAAAAUGACAACAUUUCAAUUUACACUAACAGGACCCAACAAAAAUUACAUUUGGUCCACACUCUUUUGUAGGCCCAUGGUGUUUGGGUAAAAGGGGUUUUAACUUUUUACACAGUGCGAUCCAUCACUUAUCAAUUCAUGAUUGUCGCAUUGUUUCAAGGUAAUUUUCUGAGUUAGGCCCAUUUUUUGGGCAAACAGGCUCACCUUUUUAUUCCUUCUAUGCUCAAAUCAAAACAAUGUUGCACUUCUCUUUGGAAAUCACAAAUCACCUUUUUAUUUAGUAUUUUUAAAAUAUAUAUAUAUAUAUAUUCUAAAGAAUAUUUAUAUCUUUAAAAAAGUUUUAAAAAGUGAAAAAAUACAAGAAAAAAUGAGAUUUUAAAAACUAUACACAAAAACUAAAAGCUGAACUUAUAAGUUUAAUGUCAAACAAAUAAUAUUAAGAAUGUGUUUGGUACCAACUUUUAGUAUUAGUGUUUAACUUUUAACUUUUAUAUAUGGCUUUUUAAAACUUCAUUUUUUUUUUUCCUUAUAUUUUCUCACUUUCAGACAUUAAAUAAAAAAAAAUGGGUAGGUCAGGGAGUAAAUGAAGGUACAUGAAUGUACAAUGGGAAUAUAAAAUAAUAAUAAUAAUAAUGUUGUGAAGAGUAAAUUAUAUAUAUAUAUAUAUAUAGAGAGAGAUAGAGAGAGAGAGAGAGAGAGAGAGAGAGAGAGAGUAAAACAAUGCAGUAGAAGAAAUUAAAUUUUAAAUGAUAUGCAUCAUAGCACUGUACAAAAGCUUUAGUAGAUUGUUGUGUUGGACAUUUAGUGUUUGUUUAGAAACAACUUAUCUUCUUCUUCUUUUUUGAGAAAAAUUGGAACAACUUAUCUAAUUUUUUGCUGAAAACUCUUUUCUAAAAGUAUACUAAAGUAUACUUGUACUUUGAAAAACUUUUAAAAAGUGAGAAAAAAUAUGAAAAAUUGAAAUUUUAAAAAGCUAUACAUAAAAUUUAAAAGCUGAAAAUAAUGUCAAACAGACUCUUGCAAUUACACUUUCUCACAUCUCUAAAAAUAGAUAAGUUAUCUUUUAUUCAUUUUUUUAAAAUCUUUUAUUUUUCAAAUGAGUUAUCUUUGAUACAAUCUUUUAAGAUUACAAUUUCUCAAAUUUUCUUGGAAGAGAGUCUUCUCAUUUUCAUUUCAGAUCACAAAGAUAAACUUUCUCUUAGAAUCCAUUUGGGAACAGUUUAUUUAGCUAAAACUGAAAUUUUUUUGGUGAAAAUACUAUAGAUAAAGUUAAAAUGUAGCUGAAAUAAUACAGUGAGACCUAUGAAUAAUACCAAAAAAUGAUGUGGAACCAUAAAUAGUAGUAAAAAUAAGCUGAAUAGUAGCAAAAAUAAACUAAAGCUGAGUUUGGAUUGCUCGUCUGCGUCUGCAUUUGGCAUUUGGCCUUUUUUCUAGGUCCCGUGCAUUGUUCACAGGACCUACAAGUACGGAAAAACGCAAAUUUUGCUUUAAAAGUGGGUCCCACGGCACUAUUCACAUAUUUAAAAAUUAUUUUCUAUAGUGUUUUUAGCAAUAAGUUUUUAAUUUUCAGUAAUAAGCAGUAUCUAAACAAACCCUAAAUAGUAAAAAAAGUUAACUUUUUAAGCCAAUGUCAAACUCAACCUUAAUUAUAAGGCACUCCUUUCAAAAAAAAAAAAAAAUUCCCUAAGUGAGGACUGAAUUAACAAAUGUGCUUAAUUUAUUUUAAUAUUUUAAUACCAGUCUAUUUCGAAUCACAACUAAUAAUAAUAAAAUCAUUAUUAUAUUAUUAAAAGGUUUAAAUAUUCAAAUUAUUAAUUCAGUGGAUGGUUUAAAGGUUUCUAAAUAAAAAGUGAAUUUUUUUUUUAAUAAAUAAGUUUGUAAUGGUGUUUAUUGACCUUCAAAGAAGCUUCUUAUUUCCAUUGAGUCCCUAGCAUCUUCUUCAAUUCUUGGUAUUAUUUUUCUCACUCACUGAGUCACUGUGCUCUUUUAGCUCGAAGUCGAAGUUUUCACUUCUCGUUUCUUUUCUUCUUCUUUUUUCUUUUUUUUUUCUUUUUUUUCAAUUUAUAGGGUAUAGUUACGUCUUAAGACUAUUUUAAGUUACUACUCCAAAAAUUUAUGUCUUGGAGAAUCCCAAACCAAUUCCAACUCUCUAACUUUUUAUUAUUAUUAUUUUCUUUUCUCAAUUUAUAGGGCAUAGUUACAACUUACGACUCUUUCGAGUUACUACUCCAAAAAUUNAAAAAAAAAAAAAUUUAAAAAAAGAAUUAAAUGAAAAGCCACUUAAUAUUCAGUUUUACUCAUCAAUAUACAAUUAUUUUUAUGUUUUCAAAAUUUAGUCUACAAAAAUAAGAGUUGCCCUCCCCAAAUAUUUGAAUUAGUCUAAUAAUGCUCUUAAAUAAAAUAAUUGGCCUAAUAGUUAUAGAGAUAUAACUUUAUUUUUCGCAAUUCUAUUUUUUAUUGUAAAAUAUGCUUUUAUAUCUGUUAAAUAUUUGAUAAAAUUUGAUAUCAAACAUGUUUGAAUCUAUAUUUUUCAACCCGUAAUGUGACGAUUAACAAGUCAUUGACUCAUUAAAAAAUUGUUGUCACUAAAACUACACAUGAAAUGUGUUUUUAGUUGCCAUAUAAUAUGUUAAAGUUAGGUAACUUUAAAUAUGUUUAGAGCCUAACUUAUUUCUCCAAGUUUUUGAUCAUUCAUGUUUUUGAAAAUUUCAUUAGUUUAAUUGAAAGAUUUUUUACUUACUUUAGCAUAAAAUUUGAUCAUUUGUAUUUAAAAUGAAACUUUUUAAGAUUUUGACCAUGAAAAUGGAAAAAAUGAAUUUUAUUUUAUGAAAGAUCGCCGUCAAAAAUAAUUUUGAUUAAAAAUACUAAGAUCUUUUUUUUUUUUUUGUUGGGUGUGUGUAUAUAAUAACUUAUCAAAUAAAAAAGUGUGUAUAUAUAAUAAAAAAGUGUGCAUGUGUGUACAUAUGUGUGUGUGUGGGUGUGGAAGUUGUCUUGAUAAAUAUAUUAGCGUCGCAACUUGGCCCCCCAUACAAAAAUUCCUGGCUCCGCCCCUGAGAGAAGCAAAAGAUAGUCAUCACACCUUUGUGAUAAUAUAAUUAGUUACUAAUUUUAAAAUUAUAUAAAUACUAGAUAAUAUAUAUAUAUAUAUAUAAUAAAUUUAUAACUAGUAAUAUCUGGUCUAUAUAUCCAUAUAUAAAACUGUAGUCUUUGACUUUUUGUUAACCUCUCCAGAAUUUACUACAUCAUUAUUAUUUUUUAUGCUCCAAAGAAUUAUGAAUUUCAAUUACUUUUUAUCUAAACCCUAAUACAUAAGGACUCCAUUUGUGUCAACUGCCAACACCUAAUGGAGGGUGCAAGUACGAUGCUUAUAAUUGUAAUUUAGAAAGUGAUCAAUUGCAAUUAUUUAAUGGAUUUGUUUAGUGGUUUUCUUCUCUAUGUAGGUCACAAGCUCACAUCAUGAAGACUUUUUAGGAUUACAAUCGAAGUUUCCAGGCAGACUUUCUACCUUUCCUAAACUCUGAAUCAUUUUAUACCUUGUGGGUAUAAAAUGACCAUCCUUAAAAAAUGUUUUUGGUCUGAGAGGGAUUGUGUGGUGUGAUCAUUGUUUAAAAAUCAAAAAAACAAAACAAAAGAGCAUCCCAUGCUUUGACCGUGAAAGCACACGUAAUUAACCUAGUUUUCUAGUACCAGUGAUCUAGUAAGAUAAAAUAAAAGGGGAGAACUCCAUUCAUUAUCUAUAAAGUAUCUAUCAUAUCAUUCCUUUGUGUAUGGGAAUUUAUACGGUUGCUAGUGGUUUAAAUCCAACUGUCUUAUUAAUUGCUAGUACCUUUGGAAUAGUAUUAAUUGGGAACUCUUAAAGGAUAUGCAUGACAACCUAUUAUUCUUAUAUAAGUGACAAUAUUGUAUGUAACACUUUUUUUCAUUUACAUAAAUCAAAAAUUGGAGAAGAGUGGAUUUUUACCAUUUUAUUAAAAAUAUUAAAAUUUAGUUAUAAAACUCUUAACAUAUAUUAUGUAACAUAUAUAUUAAAAAUAAUAUAAUAAGAUAUUGAGGUAUAAUCUAGGGCUUGAGUUAUACUAGAGAAUCAAUACUUUUAUCUGGACAAGUCUUAUAUUGCAUCCCAAAGUUAUUUUAAUAUUUUGGGCACCAAUAUUUGCCUAUAAUACUGAACAAAGAAAACACGUUGAUGUUUGUUUGGGAACAACUUAUUUAGUUUUUUAUUAAAAUAUUUUUGCUAAAAGUGUGCUAAAAAAUACUUGUUUUUUUAAAUUUUUAAAAAAGUGAGAAAUUACAGAAGAAAAAAAAAUGAGACUUUAAAAAAAUGUAUUUAAAAGUUAAAAGCUAGGUUUGUAAGUUGAUGCCAAAUAAACACACAUCAUGAAUUUUUUCAAAGUAAUAAUACUCUCAAAUCUACUCUUUAGUUUUACAUCUACCAUUAUGCAUUUUAUAAAUAAACAUUUUUUUUUAUAAAUAAUUUCUUAAAAUAUGGACAUUUCUAUACGAAUUAUAAAUAUUGGUAUGGAAUAAUGGAUUUAAAUAGUUAAAGAUGAUAGCUUUCCCCAUAUUCAAUUGUGGUUUGGUAUUUUUAAUCGAGUCAAUCUAUAGAAGUGAUCCUUUCCUGCAAAAAAAAAAAUCCUAUCACACCCCUAAAAAAUAUAUAGGAACGAACACAAAUCAAUAAGUUAAAAGAAGAAAUCUAGUUCACGCAACCAGACAAAAAAAAAAGUUCAAUAAAGAACGGUGAAAGCAUCCGCACUGGAAAUUAUAAAUGCCAAAUCUAAGGAAAUUUUGGCAUUUCAAGCCUAAAAUAGUUAGCAGUUGGGAUUGUAAAAUUGAAGAAUUGUAAAAAAUUUUAGAAUUGUGCUACAGUGCCAUUCUACAUGUAGAAUGGUACUGUAGCACUAUUGUAUAAAUUUUUUAAUCACUUUUAUUCUCUCUCUCCUCUGUCUUCUCUUUCUCUUUGUCUCUGGGGCUGAGACGUCUUCUUUCUUUCUCAACUCUCUCUCUGUUUUCUCAUCUACGCUCUCUCACUCUCUGACUCGCAAUUGGUCAAAGCAAGGUCCGUUGAAGGUGUGGCGGUGAUGGCAUUUGCUGAUUGGUGAUGGCGUGGGUUUCAAAUCGGUGAUAGAGUAUUUUUGAUGGCCUGGGUUUCAAAUCGGCAGUGUGGGUUUGCUGAUCGGUGGCUUGGGUUUGCAAAUCGGCGGCUUGGGGUUGUUGAUCGGCUUGGGUUUGCUAAUUGGUGGCUUGGGGUUACUAAUCGAUGGCUUGUGGAGAUCGGCGAGUCGGCGUGGUGGGUUUGGAGUGAUUUCCUUAAGCGUGGGUUUGAAGAGGUUUUUCUUCUUGGUGUGUUUUUGGCAAUUUUUUGUGUUUCUUGGCAAUUUCCUCAAUUGGUGGUGGUAGUUUUUGGCAAUUUUUUGUGUUUCUUUUCCUCUUGGUGGUUGUUUCUUGUGGUUGUUGUUGGUGGUGAGUUUGGUUGUGGUGGUGGUUGCUGGCCGGUGGCGUGGUGGUGGCAAGGUGGGUUCUAGGUUUUUCUUUUUUGGAACAGGGUUUUUGGAUUUUUCUGAGAGGAGUGCAUUUUGUUGGUUAAUAUAUUUUAAUGUGUAAAUAUAUUAUUUUAAUAAGUAGAAUAAGAAAAUAAAAGUUGGGAUGCUGAAUGUAUGUUAAAAUGGUAUUGUAUAAUUGAUAAAGUAGUUUUUUAAGAUGGUAAAAUAUGAUGAGAUGAGAAUUUAGGCUGUGAAUGCUCUGAAUAGUUUAGAGGUGUUUGGUACAUUCACUUAAAAAUAUGUGUUUUAUUAUUUGAAAAUAUGUGUGGAAAUAUAUAUGGGUAAAAAAAUGUGUAAAAAUACAUGUAAUAUUGUUUAAAAACUAAAAACAUGUGUUUGAUUUGCCAUUCCAAACAGGACAUCAUUGAAUAUGAAACUACCGAAGGGACCAGGCACUGAGACAAUGACAAAAUCGAUAACACAGGCAUAGAUACUGUAAAUUGAGAUAAGGUACAAUAUUCUGAAUAGUUGAGAUUUAAAAUUGCAAAAAACAACUUUAAAUCUUAACCAUUCAAUAUAAAAAAUAAAUAAAAGUAAAAAAAAAAAAAAUUGUGAGGAAUUAGGUGAAUUGCACGGUGCAAUUGCUUCUCUGCUCAGUCAUGCAUGCACGCUACACCGACAAAACUUAAUGCCCAUAUACGAAGCUUUCGCAACCGCAACACGCUUCUUCUUGCAUCGGCCAUGACUUUCUUCACAGACGUUCACGUGGAAGCUGGUGUUUUCAGUUUUUAAAAACUGAGUUGGAUGGCAUUUUCGUUAUUAGCUUCAACUAUGUGGGACCUGGUGCAGUGUGUAGUCACAUCACCUUCAAACCGUUGGAACUCUCUCUCUCUUUUUUUGGCUUCUCCUUGGCUUUAGCAAUUACACUCCCUUUUCCCUCAUUUUUUGCUCUCUUUCUUCAGAUGACAUUACUCAAAACCCAACUUCCCCAAUCACUCAUCUCACCCACCUCUCUGAACCAACAUAAAAUCACUUCCUUGACUUUUUCUGAAACCCAGCCUUUAUAUCAAACUCCAGUGGUUCAGUUCAUCUCAUAAUCUCACGCGUGACUGACAACAUUUAUUGAGAGAAGAACCCAUUCUAGCGAAGACCCAGCACCACCGACAAGCUCAUCUCUCACCGGCGCCGACAUCAGUCAGUUCAUCAGCUCCGAACUCUGCCCAGGUGACCACGUUUUCUCUCUCUCUCUCCCUCCGUAAACCCACCUUGCUCUGUUUUGUAUUCCUCUAAAUCUCAAUGUUUGUAUUUCAAAGUUUUUGUUCAGGUGCUCUGUUUUGCUUUUGUUUGUGUUUCAAUGUUUUUUUUUUUUUUUCAAUUUCUCUAAACAUUGAUGGGUUUUGUAAAAUAAUGAAAUUUGUGUUUUAACCAACAUAGAAAGGGGUUUGAUGGAGAUGGGUUUCAACCAAAAUUUGGGGAUUUAGGGGUUCUUAGUGAGAUAGAGUUUUGAGAAAUGAGUGAUGAGUUUGAGUUUUGAGAUACUCCCAAUCCAAACACCCUCUAACUUUUUACUUUGUUAGGGAUAUGA
rnacentral:sRNA from 1 species